AGGAGGGCCAAGAUAGCUUAACAAAUCUCAGUUAUAAAAAAAUAAUAGAAAGAAGAAAUGAAAGGGUUUGCUAACAUAUCGGUCUUUUUGGUUCUUAUCCUUCUUAUUCCGACAUUUACUGCCAGUCGGGAGCUAGCAGAGAAGCCACAAACAGAAGAGAAGAUUUCCACGAUAGGUCAAAUAAAAGUUCAUCCUAUAUGCCGCAAAUGCCCAAGUCCUCCACCCCCACCAGCAGUGGGUCCUAACACGGACAUGAACCAUGACUGAGCCCUACUGUACCGCCAGUGAUCCUUGAACUGCAGAAGAGAAGGGCUGUGGCUUUGAUCUUAUUCAAUAAUUAAGUAGUCUGUGUUACUAUGGCUACUGUACUACUACUUGUACUGUAAUGAACUGAAUAUAUAUAUAUAUAUAUAUAUCACCAAUAAAUCCAGAAUGAACCACUAGUUAGCUCUGGCUUCAUAAAUGUGAGUACUUAUGCAGGCUUGGAUUUGAAAAAUGUUACACCUUAGCUUAAUAUCCAAAUCAUGUUCCUAAUUUUAUUUUA